CAAAGGAGCAAUCCGCUGAAAGAUGGGCUCGCGUCCGAUUAGGUAGUUGGCGGGGCAACGGCCCACCAAACCGACGAUCGGUAGCCGGACUGAGAGGCUGAACGCCCACAUUGGGACUGAGACACGGCCCAGACUCCUACGGGAGGCAGCAGUGAGGGAUAUUGGUCAAUGGGGGAAACCCUGAACCAGCAACGCCGCGUGAGGGAAGACGGUUUUCGGAUUGUAAACCUCUGUCCUCUGUGAAGAUGAUGACGGUAGCAGAGGAGGAAGCUCCGGCUAACUACGUGCCAGCAGCCGCGGUAAUACGUAGGGAGCAAGCGUUGUCCGGAUUUACUGGGUGUAAAGGGUGCGUAGGCGGCUUUGCAAGUCAGAAGUGAAAUCCAUGGGCUUAACCCAUGAACUGCUUUUGAAACUGCAGAGCUUGAGUGGAGUAGAGGUAGGCGGAAUUCCCGGUGUAGCGGUGAAAUGCGUAGAGAUCGGGAGGAACACCAGUGGCGAAGGCGGCCUGCUGGGCUCUAACUGACGCUGAGGCACGAAAGCGUGGGUAGCAAACAGGAUUAGAUACCCUGGUAGUCCACGCUGUAAACGAUGAUUACUAGGUGUGGGUGGACU
rnacentral:rRNA from 1 species